GAUGAACGCUGGCGGCGUGCCUAAUACAUGCAAGUCGAACGCAUUGAGAGAAGUGCUUGCACUUUUCAAUUUGAGUGGCGAACGGGUGAGUAACACGUGGGCAACCUACCUGAUAGCGGGGGAUAACGAGUGGAAACAUUCGCUAAUACCGCAUAACAAUAGAGAAGGCAUCUUCUUUAUUUAAAAGGCGCUUUCAAGCGUCACUAUCAGAUGGGCCCGCGGUGCAUUAGUUAGUUGGUGGGGUGAAGGCCCACCAAGACGAUGAUGCAUAGCCGAGUUGAGAGACUGAUCGGCCACAUUGGGACUGAGACACGGGCCAAACUCCUACGGGAGGCUGCAGUAGGGAGUCUUCCACAAUGGACGAAAGUCUGAUGGAGCAACGCCGCGUGUGUGAUGAAGGCUUUCGGGUCGUAAAGCACUGUUGUAUGGGAAGAAAUGCUAGGCUAGGAAAUGAGCUUAGUUUGACGGUACCAUACCAGAAAGGGACGGCUAAAUACGUGCCAGCCGCCGCCGUAA
rnacentral:rRNA from 1 species